rnacentral:rRNA from 1 species
AGAGUUUGAUCCUGGCUCAGGAUGAACGCUAGCUACAGGCUUAACACAUGCAAGUCGAGGGGAAACGACAUCGAAAGCUUGCUUUUGAUGGGCGUCGACCGGCGCACGGGUGAGUAACGCGUAUCCAACCUGCCCACCACUUGGGGAUAACCUUGCGAAAGUAAGACUAAUACCCAAUGACGUCUCUAGAAGGCAUCUGAAAGAGAUUAAAGAUUUAUCGGUGAUGGAUGGGGAUGCGUCUGAUUAGCUUGUUGGCGGGGUAACGGCCCACCAAGGCUACGAUCAGUAGGGGUUCUGAGAGGAAGGUCCCCCACAUUGGAACUGAGACACGGUCCAAACUCCUACGGGAGGCAGCAGUGAGGAAUAUUGGUCAAUGGACGAGAGUCUGAACCAGCCAAGUAGCGUGCAGGAUGACGGCCCUAUGGGUUGUAAACUGCUUUUAUAAGGGAAUAAAGUGAGUCUCGUGAGACUUUUUGCAUGUACCUUAUGAAUAAGGACCGGCUAAUUCCGUGCCAGCAGCCGCGGUAAUACGGAAGGUCCGGGCGUUAUCCGGAUUUAUUGGGUUUAAAGGGAGCGUAGGCCGGAGAUUAAGCGUGUUGUGAAAUGUAGAUGCUCAACAUCUGCACUGCAGCGCGAACUGGUUUCCUUGAGUACGCACAAAGUGGGCGGAAUUCGUGGUGUAGCGGUGAAAUGCUUAGAUAUCACGAAGAACUCCGAUUGCGAAGGCAGCUCACUGGAGCGCAACUGACGCUGAAGCUCGAAAGUGCGGGUAUCGAACAGGAUUAGAUACCCUGGUAGUCCGCACGGUAAACGAUGGAUGCCCGCUGUUGGUCUGAAUAGGUCAGCGGCCAAGCGAAAGCAU